UCUAGAACUCGAGAUAUGGGCUGAACACUGAACAGUAUCUGGGCUGCAGGACAGAUUCCGACUUCUCUUUUGUUGCUACAAUUUGAACUUGAAAACCACUCUUUUGAAUCUUGGAAUCUUCAUGAAAGGUUUACCAUAAACCAGACCUAAAUCCAAGUUCUACA
rfam:Populus trichocarpa scaffold_17_contig_323, whole genome shotgun sequence.